AGCCAGGUAUACCUAGUGGUGAUUUUAAAAACUAAGUUGCCUUGCCCCAUGGCAAUGUGGAGGGAGGAAUCUGGCAGUAGAUCAAUGGGACCAGACCUAGAACCCACUGCACAUGACAAACAGAUGAGGAACCUCUAGGAUCCAUGAAAGAACAUAUCUGAGCUAGCAUCUUAGAAGAUGAGACAUGUCCAGGAGAGCUAUGGCACAGAUGUCCCAGCUGAAGCCCUAUACAUAGGAGACAGUCUAGCCAAGAUCAGUAAAUCCACCUAGCAGACCGACAACUGACCACAGACACAUGAGAGAGCCCUUCCAAGCCCAGCUCAGAUCUGCAGAA